AUGCUACCAAGGGCGGGCAGGGAGCAGCUCCAACAGGGGUGGAGUUCCCUGGGCACUGCACUGCACCCCCGGACUGGGGAACAGGGAGGCCAGCCCCACCCGGGCCCCAGCAGUUGUCCCUCCAGGGUCAGCCCAAGGUCCCUCCCUUGUGGGGCCCCUCCAGUCAGGGGCCAGGGGAGGUGGGUGCCAGAGUGGAGCCAUUACUCCCCAGGGGUGAUUUUAACGGGCGUCCUUCCUGUGGGGACCCUGGGGCUCCAUCUUGGCCCAGCUUCCCGCUGCCGCCCCCUGAGCCCCUCGAUCCUGCUCCCCAGAGGCUGUGCUGGUUUUCUGCCCAAAGGAGCCCUACACCAAGCCCUGCCUCUGGGACUCAGGACACGGGGGUGCUGGCCCCUGAGAAGCUUAUGUCACAGUCGCCGGGGCCAGGAUGGGACCCACAGCUUCAACUCCAGUAACGGGAAAGCCCCCAGCCCUGCUGCUCCCAGCCGCACCCAAAGCCCAGGCCGUGGCCAAAUUCCCCUGCGUGCUGCAGGCUCCCCAUUCCUCCCGCCAAAGGACUCACCAGGAGUGGCAGUUCUUGUCCGAGGGCACCACUGCGCCUGGCCGGUAGGACUUCCCAUGGACGUGGCACGGUGGUGGCGGAGGUGGGGUUGGGCAGGUGGCCACACACUGCAUCUUGUCCUCAUCAAAGAUGGGAGCCUCUGGUGGGCACUUGGGGUAGCAGCCUGCGGGCCAGAGAGGCCAGAGUCACAACCAGACCCAGCGUCAGGCGCCUCGCCCUGGAGGGCUCCGCCCAGCCCCCAAGCAGUGGGCCUCGCUGACAGCACCGGAAUGUGCUGGAAGCUGGGGCCACAGAGGCUCCUCGAGGGACCAGGAGAAGGGACCAGGAGAAGGCCAAGGGCGGCGGAGCGCAGGCCAGCCCCUCCCAGCCAGCCCCAGCCCACCUUCCAGGCCCCGGACGUCCUGCAGGCAGUCUCCGCGGGGGUUCUGGCAGGUCCGCAGGCAGGGCGCCCCGCAGGGCUGGUAGUGCCACUCGCACUGGCCUUCCGGGUUGUAGUAGUCACAGAACAGAGCUGCAGGGAGGAGGGAAGAGCUCGGUGGGGCCCCAGGCGCUCACGCGGGGAGGCCCCGCACCCCGGGGCUGCUCUAAAGCCGCUUCCCUCCCCUGCGCCUCCCAGCCAUCGCAAGAUGGGGACGGGGAGAGGGGGCCAGAUCGGCACCCCCCAGUUAUCAGGGUGCCACGGAGGCUGCCAGCAGAGUGGGGGUCUCCAGCCGGAACAGCUCCAGCAGUGCCUGUUCCUGGCAAGGCUCCGUGUGGGCUAG
rnacentral:lncRNA from 1 species